AGAUGAAGCUAGCCUUCUCAGCUAGCCUUCAGAUUUGUCUGCUAACAGUAAAAAUACUAUAAUAAAUCGGUAACAUAUGUUGCCAGGCAAGGAAAAGUGAUAUAAAUAAAGAGACUGGGAGACCCAAACCAAGUACAAUAUUGCAUUCUUACCCAAAUACUCUUCGUGAUUGCCUGCUUUGCGGCUUUGGGAUUCUUCAGGGAGUAGAGAACAUUCACACGGGUUGACAUCCCAGUUUUCUCAGCAUAUUUCUGAACCAACUUACGGAUACAUGAAGAAGUCAGACAAGGCCGGGUGCGGUGGCUCACGCCUGUAAUUCCAGCACUUUGGGAGGCCGAGAUGGAGGAGGGAGGGGAAGAGAACUGGCAGAAUUAUCACUAGGCACUGCAAAACCUUCCAUUGAAAUCCACGUUUACCAUGGUGACGUUUGCUAGUUACGGCAGAGCUGAUCAACUGCAGAUUUUCCUGCUGCUGAGGCUAAAUUGCAAGCUGCUCAUAAUGCCAUCAGAUGCUGCUGGGUUUCCAGCCAAUGAGAACUUUGGGAAUACUUUCCUCCCU
rnacentral:lncRNA from 1 species